rnacentral:lncRNA from 1 species
AUGCGCUGUCAUUUUUUUCCAGAUGGCCUUCUUCAGUGCCCAGAGAGAGCUGGCUGGUCCUCCUUUGUACCCACCUCUGUUGUAUGCCUGAUGAAGAGGCAUUCACUUGAUUUGUUACAGGCCUGUUUCCUUCACAGAAUCACAAGAACAUACUGCCAAAACCCUUCGUCUGGUGUGGAAAGCAUGAAGGACACUGCCCUCAGCCCAAGGCCUCUGCUUAAAAAGUUUGAAAGCAUUGUCUGCCUGCCUCCAUCUCCUGAGUCCUGUCCCGUGGACCAGAAAAAGGUGAUGCUCACACCCUUAUGCCAUCUCGUGCUGUCUUUGUUCCAUCAGCAACUGCGUGUGGCUGUCUGUGGUGUAAUGUAG